CAUGGAAGCUGAAGAACCAACCAUGCAGACAGAUGAGAAAACACCUUUUGUCUACAGACAGCACAAUCCUACAAAACAUGGAAAUCUUUGUCUGAAUUAGGACAGCUGGCUAAGUGUGGUCAUUCCCCUUCACAUAAC